CAGCCGUCACACCACGUUGCGGGACCCGCUUGUCAUCCCUCUCGUGUUAACCUCCCAUACCCGCUUGAGCCGGCCACGACGCUGCAACCACCACUGCGGCCCUGCCUAACUGCACGAAUAAAAAAAACUCCGGCAUCUCUCAAUCCUCCGCCACCUCAGCCGAUCUCGAUGCCCACCACUGCGCAGCCCACACGCUCACCAUCGCCGUCGCGUCGUGCCUCGCCUCACCUCACAGCCGUGCGGCCUGGUCGUCGUUGAGCAGGGAGCCAGCGCUAAGCUCGUUGUGCCCGGACUCGACCUCGCCACCAUCACCGCCUCGCCCGGAGCAGCCUUGGCCCACCGCGUCGCGCCAUUGCCUCGUCCGUCGUUGCCAUGACUGCGAUCCAUUUUCGAGCUUCGAGGAAUCGACAGUCAAGCUUCGGCGACCAAGAGAUUGAACUCUUCGAGUUCUACGAGAAUGAAGACCCUGAGCAGCAGCAGCUUGGUGAAGGCAAGUGUCCUCUGACCCAUUAUGUCCUAUUCACUUAUAAUUGACUUUCCCGCAGUAUUUAAUUGAAAUCUAAGGAUUGACUAGCUUUA